rnacentral:lncRNA from 1 species
AUGCCCCAAGAGAGAAUUUUAAAAAAUGUUUAUUUAUUUGAAAGUCAGAGGCUGGCGCCACGGCUCACCAGGCUAAUCCUCCACCUAGCGGCGCCCGCACAUCAGGUUCUAGUCCUGGUUGGGGCGCCGGAUUCUGUCCCGGAUGCCCCUCUUCCAGGCCAGCUCCCUGCUGCGGCCCGGGAGUGCAGUGGAGGAUGGCUCAAGUGCUUGGGCCCUGCACCCCAUGGGAGACCAGGAGAAGCACCUGGCUCCUGCCUUAGGAUCAGCGUGGUGCGCCGGCCGCAGCGCGCCAGCCGUGGCAGCCAUUGGAGGGUGAACCAACGGCAAAAGGAAGACCUUUCUCUCUGUCUCUCUCUCUCACUAUCCACUCAGCCUGUUGGGGGGGGAGAAAGAAAGAAAGAAAGAAAGAAAGAAAGAAAGAAAGAAAGAAGGAAGGAAGGAAGGAAGGAAGGAAGGAAGGAAGGAAGGAAGGAAGGAAGGAAAGAAAGAAAGAGAAAGAAAGAAAGAAAGAAAGAAAGAAAGAAAGAAAGAAAGAAAGAAAGAAAGAAAGAGUUACAGGGAGAGAGAGAGAGAGAGAGAGAUCUUCCAUCCAUUGGUUUACUCCCCAAAUGGCCACAACAGCCAGGGCUGGACCAGGCUGAAGCCAGAAACCCAGGAGCUUCAUCUGGGUCUCCUGUGUGGAUGGCAGGGGCCCAAGCACUUGGACUAUCCUCUGCUAGCUGGAUCAGAAGUAGAGCAGCCAGGACUCGAACUCGUGCCCGUAUGGGCUGCUGUCACUGCAGCAGCAGCUUAACCCGCUGUGCCAUAGCACCAGCCCCGAGAGAUCAAUCUUCUAUCUGCAGCUUCACCUGGGUCUCCCAGUUGGGUGCAUUAACAGGGAGCUGGAUCAGAAGCGGAUCAGCACUCGUGGGCUGCCAGCGUCGCAGGUGUGGCAGUAUAACCAGCUGUCCCGCAACCCCCCAUUUUCCCAACUUCACUGAGGGAUCAUCGACAAGCAAAAUCCGAUGUGUUUAA